UGAAAGCCUUCGGCUUAACCGGAGUAGUGCAUUGGAAACUGGGGGACUUGAGGACAGAAGAGGAGGGUGGAACUCCAUGUGUAGCGGUGAAAUGCGUAGAUAUAUGGAAGAACACCAGUGGCGAAGGCGGCUCUCUGGUCUGUAACUGACGCUGAGGUUCGAAAGCGUGGGUAGCAAACAA
rnacentral:rRNA from 1 species